rnacentral:miRNA from 1 species
GUCGGGACUGGGGUCCGGUGUGGAGAGCCCUCUCAUCCCUGGAAACAGGGUGUGGC